rnacentral:lncRNA from 1 species
ACAUCGGUCACCUCCAGUCUUCACACAGUGUCCGUGAGCACAGUGACACCGGUCACCUCCAGUCUUCACGCGGCAUCGGGGAGCACAGUGACAUCGGUCACCUCCAGUCUUCAUGGAGCAUCCGUGAGCACAGUGACACCGAUCACCUCCAGUCUUCACACAGUGUCCGUGAGCACAGUGACACCGGUCACCUCCAGUCUUCACACGGUGUCCUUGAGCACAGUGACAUUGAUCACCUCCAGUCUUCACACAGUGUCCGUGAGCACAGUGACACCGGUCACCUCCAGUCUUCAUGCAGCAUCCGUGAGCACGGUGACAUCGGUCACCUCCAGUCUUCAUGGAGCAUCCGUGAGCACAGUGACACCGGUCACCUCCAGUCUUCACGCGGCAUCCGUGAGCACAGUGACACCGGUCACCUCCAGUCUCCACGCAGCAUCCGUGAGCACGGUGACAUCGGUCAGCCUCCAGUCUUCACGCGGUGUCCUUGAGCACAGUGACAUUGAUCACCUCCAGUCUUCACACAGUGUCCGUGAGCACAGUGACAUUGAUCACCUCCAGUCUUCAUGCAGCAUCCGUGAGCACAGUGACAUCGGUCAGUACAGUUCAGCCACAGAAUGUCUCUGUCACCUUGUGCUGCCCAUGUAUAAAUGCAACCACGUUCUUCCCACACACAUCCCAGUUACGCCACUGGUAACCAUCGAUCUGUUCUCCAGUCCUGUAAUUUUGUCAUUUCAAGAAUGUAACUAAAAUGGAAGCCAUGCAACCUGUGGGGCUCAGGCCUUUUCGUUCAGGACCGUUCUCUGGAGACUGAUCAGCUGGCUACACACCUCACUGCAGAGCAGUAUUCCACGGCUCUGGGUGUACCACAGCCUAGUCAUCUGUUAAAGGACAUCUGAGCCAUCCUCAGUCUGGAACUAGUAUACAUGAAGCUACAGCGGACAUUCGUGUAUUUGCAUGAAUCUAAGUUUUCAUUUCUCUGGGAUAAAUGCCCAGGAGUGCAACUGCUGGAUUAUAUGAUAGUAUAGUUUCAGAAGAAACUGCCAAACUAGUUUCCCAAGUGAUUGUCCUGUUUUAUAAUCCCACCAGAAACGUAUGGAUGAUACUGUUCUUCUGCAUCCUUACUAGCUUUUUGGUGUUAUCACUUUUUUAAAAAGUUUAAGCCAUUCUUGAUAGGUAUUAUUUAGAUAGCCACUGUGGUUUCAAUUUACAUUUCCCUAAAUGUCUAAUAAUGCUGAACAUCAUCUUUUCAUGUGUUUAUCUGCCAACUUCAGAUCCUCCUCAGUGAAACAUCUGCCCAUUUUCUAUUUGGAUUCGUUGUUUUUCACUGUUGAGCUUUGAGAACUCUUUAUUACUCCUUUGUCAGAUAUGUGGUUUACAAAUAUUUUCUCCCGGUCUAUAACUUAUCUUCCAAACAAGGUCUUUACAAAGCAAAAGUUAUUUAUUUUUAUGAAGUCGAACCUAUCAGCUCUUUCUUUAAGGGACUAUGCCUUGGUGUCUAUUCUAAAAACUCUUUGCAUACUCUUAGAGCCCAGAGAUUUUCUAUUUUUUCUGAAAGUUAUAGAAAUAUGUCUUACAUUUAAAACCAUAAUCUUUUUUGAGCUAACUUUUGUACAAGGUGUGAGACGGGUUUUAGAUUUUAAUUUUAUUGGCGUCUAGCUGACUUUCUAUGUUGCGCUGGUUUCGCGUGAACUGCAAAGUGGCUCAGUUGCACCUGCACAUGUAUUGACCCUUUUUUAGAUUCUUUUCUCAUACAGGUUAUCACAGAGUAUGGGCAGAGUUCCCUGUGCUAACAUUUGAGGUGGGGGGGGGUUGUCUGUUGGUUUAUAAAUGUCCAGUUACUCAUUUGUUGAAAAGGCUAUCAUUCCUUCCACUGAUUUUCUUUUGCACUUUUGCAAAGAAUCAGUUGGGUAUAUUUAUGGGGGUUUAUUUCUGGGCUCUCUACGGUGUUCCAUUGAUCUAUCUGUCUAUCUCUCUGCCAAAACCACUAGACUUGAUUACUAUAUGUCUUGAAAUUGAGUAGACUGACUCAAUCUACCUUACUCUUUAAAAAAAAAAAUGUUUAUUCUGCUUCCUUUGCCUUUCCAUAUAAACUCUAGACUAACUUGUGCAUAUUCAACAGAAAAAAAUUUUGCUGGAAUUUUGAUAGAAAUUGCGUUAAACCCGUAUAUUGAUUUUGAAGAAAACUGGCAUCAGUAUUAUCAUGUGGAGUCACCCAAUCCAUAAACAUGGUAUAUGGUUCAGCUCAUUUAGACCUUGUAUUUCUUCCAUUGCCAGUGUAUAAUUGCAUAAUUUUCAGCAUACAAAUCCUAAUACAUGUUUGGUAGAUUUACUUCUGAGAAUUUCUCCUCAUUUUCAGGCAAGUGCAAAUUAUUUUGGUGUCCACAUGUUGCUCUUAAUAUACUGAAGAAAGCUGAGCACCAAAGAAUUGAUGCUUUUGAGCUGCAGUGCUGGAGAAGACUCUUGGGAAUCCCUUGGACUGCAAGGAGAUCAAACCAGUCAAUCCUAAAGGACAUCAACCCUAAAUAUUCAUUGGAAGGACUGAUGCUGAAGCUGAAGCUCCAAUACUUCGGCCAUCUGAUGUGAAGAGGUAACUCACUGCAAAAGACCCUGGGGCUGGGAAAGAUUGAAGACAAAGGAGAAGGGGGCAGCAGAGAAUGAGAUGGUUAGAUAGCAUCACCACCUCAAUGGAGACGAGCCUGAGCAAACUUGGGGAGAUAGUAAAGGACAGAGAAGCCUGGCCUGCUACAGUCCCUGGGGUUAGAAAGAGUCAGACACAACUUAGCAACUAAACAACAACCAAAUGUUGUCGCUAAUAUACAGAAAUACAAUUUAUUUUUGUAUGUUUAUCUUGUGUAUUGGGACUUGCUAAAUUCACUUGGCAGGUUUAGGAGAUUUUUUUUGUAGGUUCCUUGGGCUUUCUAUAUAGAUAAGCAUCUUGUCUACAUGGAAAGGCUGGUUUUGCUUCUCUUCUCGUCCAAACGCAUUUUCUUUUCUUGCUUUAUUGCACCAUCUAGAAGACCCAGAACUAUGCUGAGUAACAGCAGUGAAAGCAGGCACCCUUGCCUUGUUCCCAAUUUUGGGGGAAAAGCAUACAGUCAUUCACCGUUAUAUAUACUGUUAACUAUACGAGGGUGGGGGUUGUAGAUGCUCUUUAUCAAGUUGAGGAAGUCCCCUUCCACUUCUAUUUUUUUCUGACAGUUUUAUCAUGAAUGGAUGUUGAAUUUGUCAAAUGCUUAUUAAAAACACUCAUCUUCUUUUUAAUUGUCCCCUCUCUUCUCUGUUUAGUUUUUUAAAAAAUAUACAAAACAAAUGAAAAAUCAAGCCCAUCAUCCACGUGUAUAGAGCAUAAGCUAAGAUGAGGCUUUCCGUAAAACACAAUCAUACCUGUUAAAAAAAAGACUGCAGUAGGGACUUCCUCAGUGGUCCAGUGGUUAAGACUCUGAGCUUCCACUGCAGGGGCAUGGGUCCAAUCCCUAGCCAAGGAACUAAGAUCUCACAUGCCACAGGGCAUGGCCAAAAAAAAAGGUGUGCCGUAGAUCCACUGUGAAUCCACUGCGAAAAGUGACACAACAUACUUUUUAUUUCUCCUUUUGUGCCUCCUUUCCCUUUAUUUUUUA